rnacentral:rRNA from 1 species
GCCUGUGAAAUGAAUCUAAGUUCUCUCUUAAUCUUUUUUCCCCCCCGGACACAACCCUAACCAUCAUGUGAUAGAUCAAGAAUAAUUUAAAGGGGGUACAGCCCCUUUAAAAAAGAACACAACCUCCUCUAGCGGAUAACUGCCUGACUAUCCCCAGACUGUAGGCCCUCAAGCAGCCACCAACAAAGAAUGCGUCAAAGCUCUACCCUCAAAAAAUCUAAAAACCAACAGGACUCCCUUAUCCAUAACAGGCCAACCUAUAACAAUAGGAGAAUUAAUGCUAAAAUGAGUAAUCGGGGGCCACCCUCUAGAGCGCAAGCUUACAUCACCACAUUAUUAACAGACCAUAAACCAAUACUCCCAAUCCAACAAGCCGAGUAUUAAAUCUGUCCUGUUAGCCCAACUCAGGAGCGCCCAUUAGAAAGAUUCAAAUCUGCAAAAGGAACUAGGCAAUCUCAAGGCCCGACUGUUUACCAAAAACAUAGCCUUCAGCCAGCCAAGUAUUGAAGGUGAUGCCUGCCCAGUGACACUUCUGUUUAACGGCCGCGGUAUCCUAACCGUGCGAAGGUAGCGCAAUCAAUUGUCCCAUAAAUCGAGACUUGUAUGAAUGGCUAAACGAGGUCUUAACUGUCUCUUGCAGACAAUCAAUGAAAUUGAUCUUCCUGUGCAAAAGCAGGAAUAAGCCCAUAAGACGAGAAGACCCUGUGGAACUUGAAAAUCAGCGACCACCACACACAACCCAAAACCUACUAGGCCCACGAUCCAAACAAAACGCUGGUCCGCAUUUUUCGGUUGGGGCGACCUUGGAGAAAAGCAAAUCCUCCAAAAAUAAGAUCCUACCUCUUAACCAAGAGUAACCCCUCAACGUGCUAACAGCAACCAGACCCAAUACAAUUGACCAAUGGACCAAGCUACCCCAGGGAUAACAGCGCAAUCCCCUCCAAGAGCCCAUAUCGACGAGGGGGUUUACGACCUCGAUGUUGGAUCAGGACAUCCUAAUGGUGCAGCCGCUAUUUAAGGGUUCGUUUGUUCAACGAUUAACAGUCCUACGUGAUCUGAGUUCAGACCGGAGUAAU